GUAAGCCCCUCACAGUGGAUCAGAUGUACGAGGACUUCAGCCAGGAUCAUGCCAAAAAAACUGUUACCAUGGAGACACAUCCUCACCUGCCUGGACCACCAAUGGCAUCAGUGCAUCCCUGCAGACAUGCCGAGGUGAUGAAGAAGAUAAUUCAGACUGUCGCUGAGGGAGGCGGGGAGCUUGGGGUUCAUAUGUACCUUAUGAUUUUCCUCAAGUUUGUGCAAGCAGUCAUUCCAAGUAUAGAAUAUGACUACACAAGACACUUUACUAUGUAGACCAGUAGGAGAGCAUGAGUUUCCGUAUCAGAGUGUCACGUAACAUGAUAUUUUACUGUAUAAAUCAGAAGGACGACAUAAAUUUCUAUUGGCAUUGAAUAUUACUUAAAACAAAUGACUUGAGUGGGUGAAUAAUUUGGAUUACACGUAUUUCCAGUAUGGAAGAUGAUUACUUAAGUCAUUUUCCAUGUAAAAACAGAAGAUAGCAUCAGUUGCUUAGAAUUUGAAGACAAAACCAAGACCCCAUUGAAAAACUGCCCCACCCUUGUUAUGCAAAGGAGAACUGACUAUUCUUUAUAUUAAAUGUAUGCCUUUCAAGGCAGGAGAUAUUCUUAACUGUUGGUAAGGCAGAACAUAAAAUUUACAAUUUUAUUAAAGAAUUUAAAAAAAGAACUCAGGCUAAGUAUGAUUCAUCAUUAUAAGUAAAAGCUGUAUUAAUUCCGUUAAUAGCCAGGGAGUGCAUUUAACUGAAUGGUUUAAUUUUCAGAGAUGCCCAAAAAAAAUGCAAAAAUAUUGUAGAAAAGUCCGCCUGAGUAACGUUGUGUAAACUCCUUUUGUUUGAGGAGGCGGACAUUUGUAAAUCAGAGAAACAGUCACUACAGGGUAAAAAUUGCGCCCACUGUAGAUACAAGAUUUUGAAUUUAUGUAAGUAGCUAUAGCGUGAGUGACACUGACCUGUGUUCUUACAAAUAAAUAAAUCAGUGAAUAAUAUAAA